rnacentral:lncRNA from 1 species
GGGGCAUGUAAAAAUUAUGGAGAAAGAGUAUUGGGGCAUGGAGAUAUAAUAGAUACAAAACUAAGUAUUUAGGUUAGAGCAAAGAGAAGAAGAAGAGGGUCUUCUUCUAGGGUUGCUGUGUUUACCUCUUCUCUUCCUCCAUCUGUGAGUUUUCUGAGAGUGUCUCAUAUCUAAAACUUCUUCUCCUACUUCUCAUCUUUGGAAGAGUCCAAAUCAAGAAGAAGGAGGCAUCUGAUUGACCAUCAAAGAAGGAUCAGCAUAGUAUUGACAUACUGUGCUGAUUUCCAGGAUCAAGACUUCUGAUCGUGAUUCGUGGGCUCAUGUGGAUGACUCUUAGAGGCCGGACAUGUGUGCAGCUCGCAACAUCAUCCUCAAGCCCGGAUUGACAAAGUUAGAACGUCUAACUUGCAAGGUAAUAGAUCUGAUCUAUUAUA